AUCUUAUCAAGAGAGGCGGAGGGACUGGCCCUAUGAAACCCAACAACCAGCAUUUUUCAUUUGAAUGCAUGGUGUUAAUUCCUGCAAAAUUAAGUUUUGAGAGAUAAGAG
rnacentral:ncRNA from 2 species